GAUGAACGCUGGCGGCGUGCCUAACACAUGCAAGUCGAACGAACCUUGGGGAACAGAUUACUUCGGUUUGAAGUUCCCCGCUGGUUAGUGGCGGACGGGUGAGUAACGCGUGGGUAACCUGCCGUAUGCAGGGGGAUAACAGUAGAAAUGACUGCUAUAUACCGCAUAAGCGCACAGUAUCGCAUGAUACAGUGUGAAAAACGAUAGUGGCAUACGAUGGACCCGCGUCUGAUUAGCUAGUUGGCGGGGUAACGGCCCACCAAGGCGACGAUCAGUAGCCGGCCUGAGAGGGUGAACGGCCACAUUGGAACUGAGACACGGUCCAAACUCCUACGGGAGGCAGCAGUGGCGGAUAUUGCACAAUGGGGGAAACCCUGAUGCAGCGACGCCGCGUAGUCGAAGAAGUAUUUCGGUAUGUAAAGCUCUAUCAGCAGGAAAGAUAAUGACGGUACCUGACUAAGAAGCACCGGCUAAAUACGUGCCAGCAGCCGCGGUAAUACGUAUGGUGCAAGCGUUAUCCGGAUUUACUGGGUGUAAAGGGAGCGCAGACGGCAUGGCAAGCCAGAUGUGAAAGGUGGGGGCUCAACCCCCAAGCUGCAUUUGGAACUGUCAAGCUAGAGUAUCGGAGAGGUAAUAGGAAUUCCUAGUGUAGCGGUGAAAUGCGUAGAUAUUAGGAGGAAUCACCAGUGGCGAAGGCGGGUUACUGGACAUAACUGAUGUUGAGGCUC
rnacentral:rRNA from 1 species